ACCCACUAUAAAUUUUGCCAAUAUAAACUAGUAGAAUAUUAAAUUAAACGGCAACGCUUUACAUUUGGACCACACCAUAAUAAUUUCCAAACGCGCUUGCGUGGACUUAAAAUCUUCAAUUCCAUCCAACAUAAGAAAAAUCACUUUUUUUUCCCUUUACUACAAAGCAAAAGCCACGUAAAAUAAAAAAUAAAAAAGACUUAUUCAACCUUUUUUAAUAGAUAAAGAUUUUAUACAUUUCAUUUCAUCAAGCUAGCGUUGAAUCAUCAUGCAAGAUUCGUAUGAGUAGGUACGCAACAAACGGUCCAGAUCAACUUCUCAUUCAUCCAACGGCUGAGAUCAAAUCAAAUUCUUCUGAGCUUAUCAGCUUUGAUCACAGGAUUCGCUUUCGCUAUCUCCUCUCUCCCCACCGCUUUGAAAUCAAAACCGCACUCAUGUUUCUCCGGAUACCUGUGGGACCCACAAAAUGUAAUUCCACAUCUACACUUGAACCCGGUUAACCCGGUCCGCUUUCUACACGUCCCGCACCGGUUCGAUUGAACCGGUCCUGAUGAAUUGUCCGAUGCUUCUGGCACGAUCGACGGUACGGUCAACGCCGGUGGUUGAGGUUGAGGGAGAGAUUCGAUUUCCGCAACCGGCGAAGCAGCAACGACCACGGCGGUGGAAGCGGAGGCUGAGGAGAGAGCCGUUUCGAUUGUUGAUUUAGUUUUGGCUUGUUCUUGCUCCUUCAAAUGAAUGUCUCUGUAACAUUUUGAACAGAGAUUCAUCGUAGCUGAACUGCCGAAGAAGCCGCAGUUGUUUGCGCAGAGUCUGUGGCCUUCUGGAGUUUCACAUCGGUGCUCUUCCGCCAUAGAUGGUGAUAGAUCUGUGGUUUCAGAUGAAAAGAUUCUUAUCCUGCGUAAAUUUCAACAACGAGAAUAUUCAAUUUCACAACGCGUUUAGAUUCCUAUGAAAUUCAAGGAAUAAUAGAAACGAUGAAUCUUAAAAUUUUACAAAAUACUAAAACAUAAUCGAAUUAUAAUACAGGAAUUAUUAUUCAGAGAAAUUGUACCUGAAUGAAGAGAAAGAGUCGUUGAGGAAAUUGAGAAAGAAGAGAUAAGGGAGAGGGAAAAGGAAGAGAAAGAAUGAUGAUAACAGAGUCGGAAAGGUUAUUGAAGAGAGAGAGAGGAAGAAACGGCGAAAGGGGACAAAUUGUUAUGAUCGUUUUCAAAGAAAAUAUUAGUUAAUUAAUAGAAUAAGAAUGAACAGUUGUGUUUGAGGAUUAGUGUUGAUUUGGUUAAUUAAAAAAUGGUAAAUUAUUUAAUGUAUGGGAUUAGAACAAAAGACAGGCUGGCUGUGACGGCAGCGGCAGUGGUGUGGUGGUGAAGAUCGUAUCGUAGCGGCUUAGAACGUAAUUUCUUAUUUAUCACCCAAUGAAAAUAGACGUAAUUGAGAGAAUUCAUAGAUUGAUUUUUUUUAUUUUUUAUGUAUGUGGUUAAUAAUUAAAACCAGAUACAUCUAAUUUUUUUACAAAUAUCAAUGUAUUUGUUUUUUUAGGGGAAUAUUAAUGUAUUUGGUUAA
rnacentral:lncRNA from 1 species